AAGAGCAUCUGAGUGCAGAUACCGUGAGAAGCUGCAAACUCCAUCACUGUAAUCAUAACACCUACAAGAAGCUGUUUUCUGGCUUGCAUGACAGGGGAUGAUAAUAACUUCUUUGCAUCCCCUUUCAAAGUGUGAAAACUUCCUUUUUCUGUAAAGUCUCAUUCUCGGAGUGAGGCUGUGUGUGACAGACUGAUACAAGUGGGUCCUCUGAGGAAUCCAGUUGUAGUCCCACAUGAGAUGGAGGCUCAGACAGUCACGUGGUUGGUUUUUCUGGCCCUAAUAAAACAUGUUUCUACAAGUGACCCUGGAAGUCCCGUUAAAUACCCGCCCACUGAACCUAUACUGUCUAUGAGUUCUGAGGUCACAGACGGUCAAACCAUCACCAUCAGCUGCACUGUUGAAAGUUUCCCACAGUCAACUCUCACCUUGAUGUGGAUCAAUACAACUAAUCAGGCUGAAAUAAUCCCUGAAAAUAAUCUUAAUUCACGACCCAUCAACUCUCUCUCCCACGAGUUUAAAGUGACUUCAUCCGACGCUGGCUGGUACGUCUGCUGUGCCCAGAACACUGAGGGCUCAAAGGACAGCAAGUGGAAGGAGUUGGUGGUGAAAUGUGAGUGUUUCAGCUGCUGCUUUUUUUUUCAACCAAACAGAUCAAACCAAAUCUUCCUUUAAAAAAUCUGUUUAUGCAAAAGUAGCUUUUCUCAUGUGUUUUUCUAUCAACUAUUACGUCUGACAGUUGAAACAAUAGCACCUGAGAAAUGAAUGACCUAAAGUAAAUGUGUCUAUUUGAUUAAGUUCUGUAGAGCUUGGACAAUAUGAAUAAACUACCAGACCCUAUAUAAAGUAAUUUAAUCUAUAAAUUAUCAAUAAAAAUGAUCCAGUAAUGUUACGUGGUGCCACUCUGCCACUUAAUGAAUACUCCUGAUAAACUACUGUGCUGCUUAUUUAAAUUAUGA